UUAGUAACGGCGAGUGAAGCGGUAAAAGCUCAAAUUUGAAAUCUGGUACUUUCAGUGCCCGAGUUGUAAUUGGUAGAAUUUGUCUUUGAUUAGGUCCUUGUCUAUGUUCCUUGGAACAGGACGUCAUAGAGGGUGAGAAUCCCGUUUGGCGAGGAUACCUUUUCUCUGUAAGACUUUUUCGAAGAGUCGAGUUGUUUGGGAAUGCAGCUCAAAGUGGGUGGUAAAUUCCAUCUAAAGCUAAAUAUUGGCGAGAGACCGAUAGCGAACAAGUACAGUGAUGGAAAGAUGAAAAGAACUUUGAAAAGAGAGUGAAAAAGUACGUGAAAUUGUUGAAAGGGAAGGGCAUUUGAUCAGACAUGGUGUUUUUUGCAUGCACUCGCCUCUCGUGGGCUUGGGCCUCUCAAAAAUUUCACUGGGCCAACAUCAAUUCUGGCAGCAGGAUAAAUCAUUAAGAAUGUAGCUACUUCGGAAGUGUUAUAGCUUUUUGGAAUACUGUUAGCCGGGAUUGAGGACUGCGCUUCGGCAAGGAUGUUGGCAUAAUGGUUAAAUGCCGCCCGUCUUGAAACACAGACCA
rnacentral:rRNA from 1 species